AACACAAUAUAGUGCGUUAAAACAAGUGGUAACAUCCAGUACAUAGCGUUCAUUUGUAGGACACCACGUAUUGUGUAUUGUCAGAAGAACACAAGAUUCAGAGGUAUACAUCUACUUUUUGUACUACAAUCUACUGCAUUAAAACAAGUGGUAGCAUCCACUAUAUAACACUGAAGCUUUGAAUUUCCAUCUUGCGCCACACCAAAAAGAAAGCACACUGUUGACUCGAAUCAAAAUAAAACAACCUGCAAGUAGACAUGAACUGAUUAGUUAUAAAGGAAUAUAUAGCCAUUUUGUGAACGUGAAUAUUCAUAGAUAUGAAUUAUGAAAUACAAUGCCAAUUUGUGUGUAUGAAAAAUACCUGUAUGGUCAUUAGUUUCCUUUGGGCGCAACUACGACUGUCAUAGAAGCCAACUUGCUUGCAAGUCCUGCACGUGCGAGGCUUUUUCAGUCCUCUGGCAUUUUUGUUCCACUCUCCAUUUUUAUUUUGCU
rnacentral:lncRNA from 1 species